rnacentral:rRNA from 1 species
AGCGAACGCUGGCGGCAGGCUUAACACAUGCAAGUCGAGCGGGCACUUUCGGGUGUCAGCGGCGGACGGGUGAGUAACGCGUGGGAACGUGCCCUCUGGUUCGGAAUAACUCAGGGAAACUUGAGCUAAUACCGGAUACGCCCUUUUGGGGAAAGGCUUGCUGCCGGAGGAUCGGCCCGCGUCUGAUUAGCUAGUUGGUGAGGUAACGGCUCACCAAGGCGACGAUCAGUAGCUGGUCUGAGAGGAUGAUCAGCCACACUGGGACUGAGACACGGCCCAGACUCCUACGGGAGGCAGCAGUGGGGAAUAUUGGACAAUGGGCGCAAGCCUGAUCCAGCCAUGCCGCGUGAGUGAUGAAGGCCUUAGGGUUGUAAAGCUCUUUUAUCCGGGACAAUAAUGACGGUACCGGAGGAAUAAGCCCCGGCUAACUUCGUG